UGCCCAAACUGCACAAGGCCGGAGUUUCUGGGUCUGCCCGAGCUGGAGGGACCAACCUGCUGCAGGGAAUCAGUCUGGUGAGGGACCAGACGUGGGAGCUGAUGAUUUCUAAGCUGGGAUAAGGGCAUGGUCCUAAUAGGGCUCUGGACACGGCAUAGAGGGGUGGCCAGAAAAGAGGGGGACAGAGCCACCAGAACAGGCCUCCUAGGAGUUAUGUUGGGGGUUUCCAGCCAGCCUGGGUGCAGAAGGGCCCUCCCUCCGUGACAACGGUGCAGCAGGUGUGACUGUGCUGAUUGAUGCCUGGUGGCCCAGGAGUGGGCGGUGGGACGGGUGUGGCAUGAAUUGGUAGGGCCAGCUUACCAGGGGCCUGAGAGCCAUCCUGUGAGCAGUGAGCAAUUCCAAGGGGGUGGAGGGGUCUGAUCCAUGUUUGAGAGGGUUCUCCAGCUGCUCGGGGAGCAGGGGUUGUGAGAGCAGGAGCCCGGGAAGGGAGGGAGGGGUAACUGGAGAGCUCCUGUCUCCUGGCUGGUGUUACAGAUGGCAGAGUGGGUACAGGUAUUCCCUGGAGGGUGGUGCCAGUCUUGCCCUGGACACUCAGGCUGGGAGCAGAGACUUCCAGAAGGUCCUUCCAGAGCCCCAGGUGGCUGAUGUCCCAGGCAGUCCCCAGCAUAAGCUGUGUCAGUGGGGAAGACAUAAGUGUGGGACGGGUGACCCUAUUGGAAACAUGAGCUGAACGCCAUGAAGCCUCCUGCCAGCAGCCGUGGGCAUGCUGGAAACAGCUCCGCGGGAUGUUUUCUUCCCCUGCCUGUCAGCACCCAGCAUGUGCUGCUCUGCGCCCAGGGGAACUGGCUCUGCUGGUUCUGAGAUGGCGAUGGAGCCCCAGGCCCAGAGUCUAAAUGUGACCUUGAGAUCUGCUUACCUUGUCCAGUCAGGGCUGGCUGCCCACAGCGGGUCCUGGACAGACGUCAGGGCUUCCCAUCCCCCUGGCUCCAGGUCCACGGGGUGGGUAGGAGGCAGAAGGACAGGGAAGGGAAGAGGGCGGUGGGGAGCGUCACUUCGAUUUUUUCUCCUAUGUACUUCCUUACAUGUAGGUGGCAAUUAUGUGGUGUUUACUGCAUGGUGUGGGUGUUAUAAUCCUCUCAGUUUUCCAAUGAGGAAGCUGAGGCAGGGGGAGGUUGAACAGCAGCAGAGGUGCCCUGCGGAGCCAAGCCAUCUGCCCCAGAGGCCACUAGCGGCUAAGCCUGUGGUUCUCAAAGUGGGGUCUCCUGGAGGCAGCAGCAGCAGCAUUGCCUGGACCUUGUGAGGGACUGCAAAUCCCUCCUGAGUCUGGGCAGGGCUCAGCAAUCUGUACUUUAAGGAGCCAGCCCGGGGGUUCUGACUCUGGCCCAGGGGUGUCUUCAAUUAAUCCAGCCUAUUCAUUGCAUAGCCAUAGUCAAGGAAGUGCUGAAGACAUGCAACUCUUAUAAAAACCAGAGGCAGACAGAUCACCUGCUUUCUUGGAGCUAGAGACGGAGGGCAAACGCAUAGUUUUCUCUGGACAGUCGUGGAGCAUCUUUGCCAAAUACUAGAAGCCUCAGAGGAGCGCUGCAGCCCAGAACUGUGGACAGGCUGCUAAAUCCAGGGCCAGGAGAGCUCCAAACAGUUUGCAGACCAACCUUAGCUGCCACUGGCAAGGCCAGAUCCAGUGGAAGACAUUGGUGUUCCCAGCUGGGCUCUCACAGCUAACCAAGCAGGCCUGUGAACUCUCCUAUUCAUGUUUUAUUUCAGUUCGUUUUUUCAAAUUUCAAGAUUAUUAACAGGAGAUUAGCAAUGGUAGCUUUGUACACCAUUUGACUUUGCAUCAGUAGUUUGGCUACUGGCUGAUUUUAGGAACAGAAUGGAACUAUCCUGUGAACCAAAGUCCUGAUGCACACGCUCAAGGCUGCAGGGUGGCUGCAGAGUCCAGGGCUGCGUCCCUUGAUGGAAAACUGAAUGCCCAUUCCAAGGUAACGUUCGAAACUUCUGGGCUGUUUCCCCUCCUCCUCACACAAUGAGGUGUGGUGGUUACAGUAGACCCAAAGGAAAGUAUAGACCAUCGGCUACAAAUAAACCCCUCAAACAACAUCUUUUGUGAAAGGCAUCAGGCAAAGAUAAAUUAAAAACAAACAAGCAAACAGCAGUAGACACGUUCCAGCCGUCCUGGGCCCCAGCGCCUUUCCCCUUAGUUGUGGCUAUUUAGGCAAACGUGAAGGGGGAUACGACCAGCCCUGCCUAGUCACCCAAGGUCACCUGUGGGUACAGAGCACUCCUCCGACCCAGAAUGCAGCCCCCGUGGGCAACCCUGCUACGGCAGAAGGAGUGUGAGGCGCCCCCCUGCACGGCCUCAGCAAGCCUGCUUCCCUCUGCAAGGGCACUGCUACGUGGGAAGAGUGCGGCUGGCAGUUAGCCCCUGACAGUGGGGCAGGCUAGGUCCUUCAGCCUCUGCCACUCGCUGGCUAGGCCCGUUACAUAACUCCUGUGGGUGUGGGAGGCUCAGACGGCAUGACAUCACUUGGAGGGCAUUCUACUGGCCAUCACAAGUCACAGGCCUGCCCAAAUUCCGGGAUGUGGAACAGACUCCACCUUUUGGUGAGAGUCCUGUAAAGCCACAUUGCAAAGGGGUGUGGACUCAGGGAUGGGAAGAGCUGUGGCCAUUUUUGCAAUCAAUCUAUUGCAUAGGGAUUGCGACAUUGAAUCCUCACAGCAACCCCCAAUGGUCAGAUGGGGAAACUGAGGCACAGAGAGAUUAAGAUCCUUGUCCCCACCAGGGGUUGCCAGGUCAUAAACCCUGGCAGGUUUGUCUGCCUCCAGAGCCCCUUGUUGCUAUAUCCUGGCCUGGGCUGUGUGCUGGGAACCUCGGGCAACAUGGCCCUGGUUAUUGCAGUCCACGGGACGCACGUGGGGAAUGGUGGGUGGUAUGUUCUGACCACAUCUGGCUGCCCUGGAAAGUGGCCGUGCAGUCCUUCCUCUUCCUGCACUGUAGAAGCCUCAGGCCCUCAAUCAAGGCCUUUUCAUCCCAUGCUAAGCUUUGGGAUUACAGAGAGAAUGUUCCCUUUGGUGGCCUUUGUCAGAACUCCGUCAGUGUGUGCAUGAGGUUCCUAAAUACUUCAGACUGGCCAGUAGCCAGGGAGGAAGCAAACAGCCAGCUCUCACAGCCUCGGCAGGUUACAGCAGGCCUGAGGUGAGCAAUGUUGCCGACCACAGGCAGGGAGGUGGGAACUCGGGGGAGGUUCUCCCCCAUUCUGGGUGGGCUUGGGAUCACGCUUGUCCUGCAGAAGACAUGUGCCUGGCCCCUGAGUACUCACAGUGGUACAUUUUUCUCCCCAGAGGAUGGAAAGUUAGAUACUCACCAUCUCAGGCUCCCUGUGGCUAGUUGCAGCAGCCACCUUGUGACCUUGAGUAAAGGUCCGAGAACUGCAUGGAUGCUGGCUCUGCCUGUGCAAACCUUGGAAGCUCCCAGCAGGGACGCAGCUCCUAUUUCUUUGUGCUGGGAGAAAGACCAUCUCCAUUCAUUUAAGUCACUGUCAGUGGGCUGUUCUGUUACUUGCAGCUGGGUGCAUCCUGAUAGGGACAGUAAUUGGCAGGGAUCUGACGUGUUUCUUCGGAUUGCUUUUACUUCUGCACAUUCCAACAGGGUCAAGCAUUUGGCCAGGGCUCAAUUACUCUCUGCUGCCCUGGAUACUGGCUUAGGAGUGUCCUGUCCAAUUUACGGCUUAGGCUGCUAGAAUUUGCCACCUGGAAGUAGGGUGGGCUACUUCCCACUGACCACUCUCCAGCUUUGAGGAAAAUAGGAAAUGAAAAGAGGGACAAACUGCACACGUGCCGGACGUGCCGAGUCUCAGGCAAGACCCAGGGGGAGCACGUUCACACCACACAUUUGGUGUUCCUCAUAAAAGUUCUCGUCCAUAAUCUUCUCUAGACUGUGGUGUCUUCCAAGCUUUGGGUAUAAGGUAUUGGCCAUCAUGAGAGUUCUUCUCAUCCUUAAGCCCAAUUUCAAGAUUGAUUUUCUCUGUUAGCAGGUAAGGAUCUGCCUAACACAGCUGCGGAUUCUUCCAGCAGGAUAUGUUCAUCCCUGACCUGGAAGCUCAGUGCGGUGGGAGGGAUGGAGUCUGGCAGGACACAGGGAUGCCACUGCACAGAUGGGAUAUGACUCCAGGGUCGUCACCUGGCCUUGAUCACCUGUUUGCUCAUCUAUGAAACAGAUGAACAGUGGUACUUACCUGAGAGGGCAGCUGGAGGACACCGGAGCAGGUUUGUGUGACAGACAUGUUGGCUGCUACUAAAAACUACAAGAGUUCCCUUUCCAAGUGCUCUAGCCCCAGCUCCGUCUCCUCUUGGGAAACUUACUGCCCUUCACCUUGCAUUGUGUGUAAGUUUUCCUCUCUUCUGAUGGCCCACGGCCCUCCCGUCACUACACUCCAGUGCCUGGAACAAAGGGGUUUUCAGCACUGGCUGGGCCAUCCGUCCAGGCAGCCUGCCUUCCGACAGCCUUUCCUCCCGGUCUUUCCUUUCCUUUCACUCAUUUAUUCAACGCAACAUCCAUAUUUAUCAAAUUCCUUAUAUAUGCCAAGAAAUCUGACUACCCUUAAUCCAAAACUGUCCCACCUGGACUCCUGUCCCCAGUUGCAUCAGGAUGGGGAAUUUUAGUCUUUUGCCAUGCAAGUGGACGCCCUGCAGAAGCAAAGAUGAGCAGCCUCCAAAGGGGUAACGUGACCUAUAAUCCAGCCCCUUCUGACCCAAGGGCCCCCUCUGCCACUCACACAAGAUCUUGCUUCAUCCUGACUUAUGGCUCCUCCCCCACAGUCUUGAGGAAUCCAAGAGUCUGUUCUGUUUAUAUCUAGAAUCCUCCUUUGAAGAAUGUGUGAACUUGAGCUUAUGCCAUCCAAUGACUCGGGUACGUGGAAGCCCCUCUGGAAGGCUGACAGAUACAGGCAAGCAUCCCAGCACAACAAACAACCGCUCCAAGCUGUUGGCUUUGCAGUUGGCCGUUGUUCCCACUGGCCGUGCCAAUGACCUCAUCCCCCAAGGGGAGGCCAGGGCCUGGCAGGGCUGCCCCUCCAGGGAGAACAAUGCCCCCUGCACCCUGGGUUCUGGGCUCUGAGACUGUCCCCUCCACCCCUGAGGGGCCACAUGCUCUUGGCUGAUGGUGCAGGCACGCGAUGGAGAGGCCCAGCCAGUCCCAAGCUGUGUGCAAGUUGUCCACCCAGAACCACUGCAUUACUCCUAGAAUGAAGGGCUGGAAAUCAUUAAUCACUAUAUUAUUUUUUCCAUCUGGCUAAAUAAAGCCCAAAUCUCCCUACGCAGACAUCUAAGAUCCUUCAAAAUCAGAGUCGCUGUAAGUAUUUCCAGACUCCUCCCUCCUGCGAACCGUUUUCUAGGGCCAAGAUGCCCCAGUGUGAACCGGGUCUCCUGCCUUCAAGCCCUCCCACACACCGGAGCACCAGCAGCCCCGUUUGCAGGCUCCUCCUCCAGGAAGCCUUGCGGGGGUCCUGGCCUGCGGUCGCCCAGGCUGGGCCUCUGUGGGCUCUGGGCCUGUGCCGAGUGUCCCUGGGGAGGUCUUCUGGGAGGCCUGCUCGCUACAUCUGUUGUGAGGAACUUUAGGUCUUAACAUCUCGAGUCUCUUUCCUCCCUUAGAAAGAAAGCCUGGCUGAAGACACUGCUGAACUGUCCUGAAAUGCCCUCCACGUGGGAUCGUCUGUUCUCUCCUCCUUACGGCAGUUGACUGAGUCCUCUCGCCUUCACGGUUCCUGUGAAUAGAAUUUACCUUUAGACAUUCAACUAAAUUCAGGUUCAAGUUUUUGGCAAUA